CAGUAGCCGCGGGAAUACGUAGGGUGCAAGCGUUAAUCGGAAUUACUGGGCGUAAAGCGUGCGCAGGCGGUUAUAUAAGACAGAUGUGAAAUCCCCGGGCUUAACCUGGGAACUGCAUUUGUGACUGUAUAGCUAGAGUACGGCAGAGGGGGAUGGAAUUCCGCGUGUAGCAGUGAAAUGCGUAGAUAUGCGGAGGAACACCGAUGGCGAAGGCAAUCCCCUGGGCCUGUACUGACGCUCAUGCACGAAAGCGUGGGGAGCAAACAGGAUUAGAUACCCGAGUAGUCCCUGUCUCUUAUAC
rnacentral:rRNA from 1 species